rnacentral:rRNA from 1 species
CGGCACGGGUGAGUAACACGUAUCCAACCUGCCGUCUACUCUUGGACAGCCUUCUGAAAGGAAGAUUAAUACAAGAUGGCAUCAUGAGUCCGCAUGUUCACAUGAUUAAAGGUAUUCCGGUAGACGAUGGGGAUGCGUUCCAUUAGAUAGUAGGCGGGGUAACGGCCCACCUAGUCUUCGAUGGAUAGGGGUUCUGAGAGGAAGGCCCCCCACAUUGGAACUGAGACACGGUCCAA